rnacentral:rRNA from 1 species
UACGGGGGGGGGCAAGCGUUGUUCGGAAUUACUGGGCGUAAAGGGCUCGUAGGCGGCCAACUAAGUCAGACGUGAAAUCCCUCGGCUUAACCGGGGAACUGCGUCUGAUACUGGAUGGCUUGAAUCCGGGAGAGGGAUGCGGAAUUCCAGGUGUAGCGGUGAAAUGCGUAGAUAUCUGGAGGAACACCGGUGGCGAAGGCGGCAUCCUGGGACCGGCAUUGACGCUGAGGAGCGAAAGCCAGGGGAGCAAAGCGGG